GUCGAGCGGACAGAAGGGAGCUUGCUCCCGGAUGUUAGCGGCGGACGGGUGAGUAACACGUGGGUAACCUGCCUGUAAGACUGGGAUAACUCCGGGAAACCGGAGCUAAUACCGGAUAGUUCCUUGAACCGCAUGGUUCAAGGAUGAAAGACGGUUUCGGCUGUCACUUACAGAUGGACCCGCGGCGCAUUAGCUAGUUGGUGGGGUAAUGGCUCACCAAGGCGACGAUGCGUAGCCGACCUGAGAGGGUGAUCGGCCACACUGGGACUGAGACACGGCCCAGACUCCUACGGGAGGCAGCAGUAGGGAAUCUUCCGCAAUGGACGAAAGUCUGACGGAGCAACGCCGCGUGAGUGAUGAAGGUUUUCGGAUCGUAAAGCUCUGUUGUUAGGGAAGAACAAGUGCGAGAGUAACUGCUCGCACCUUGACGGUACCUAACCAGAAAGCCACGGCUAACUACGUGCCAGCAGCCGCGGUAAUACGUAGGUGGCAAGCGUUGUCCGGAAUUAUUGGGCGUAAAGGGCUCGCAGGCGGUUUCUUAAGUCUGAUGUGAAAGCCCCCGGCUCAACCGGGGAGGGUCAUUGGAAACUGGGAAACUUGAGUGCAGAAGAGGAGAGUGGAAUUCCACGUGUAGCGGUGAAAUGCGUAGAGAUGUGGAGGAACACCAGUGGCGAAGGCGACUCUCUGGUC
rnacentral:rRNA from 1 species